GACGAACGCUGGCGGCGUGCUUAACACAUGCAAGUCGAACGAUGAACUUGGAGCUUGCUCUGGGGGAUUAGUGGCGAACGGGUGAGUAACACGUGAGUAACCUGCCCUGGACUCUGGGAUAACUUCGAGAAAUCGGAGCUAAUACCGGAUAGGACCUUGCACCGCAUGGUGUGGGGUGGAAAGUUUUUCGGUUUGGGAUGGACUCGCGGCCUAUCAGCUUGUUGGUGAGGUAAUGGCUCACCAAGGCGUCGACGGGUAGCCGGCCUGAGAGGGUGACCGGCCACACUGGGACUGAGACACGGCCCAGACUCCUGCGGGAGGCAGCAGUGGGGAAGAUUGCACAAGGGGGGCAAGCCUGAUGCAGCAACGCCGCGUGCGGGAUGACGGCCUUCGGGUUGUAAACCGCUUUUAGUAGGGAAGAAGCCUUCGGGUGACGGUACCUGCAGAAAAAGGACCGGCUAACUACGUGCCGCCGCCGCCGUAAGAC
rnacentral:rRNA from 1 species